AUGCAAGUCGAGGGGAAACGAUAUUGGAAGCUUGCUUCCGAUAGGCGUCGACCGGCGCACGGGUGAGUAACGCGUAUCCAACCUGCCCACCACUUGGGGAUAACCUUGCGAAAGUAAGACUAAUACCCAAUGACGUCUCUAGAAGACAUCUGAAAGAGAUUAAAGAUUUAUCGGUGAUGGAUGGGGAUGCGUCUGAUUAGCUUGUUGGCGGGGUAACGGCCCACCAAGGCUACGAUCAGUAGGGGUUCUGAGAGGAAGGUCCCCCACAUUGGAACUGAGACACGGUCCAAACUCCUACGGGAGGCAGCAGUGAGGAAUAUUGGUCAAUGGACGAGAGUCUGAACCAGUUAAGUAGCGUGCAGGAUGACGGCCCUAUGGGUUGUAAACUGCUUUUAUAAGGGAAUAAAGUGAGUCUCGUGAGACUUUUUGCAUGUACCUUAUGAAUAAGGACCGGCUAAUUCCGUGCCAGCAGCCGCGGUAAUACGGAAGGUCCGGGCGUUAUCCGGAUUUAUUGGGUUUAAAGGGAGCGUAGGCCGGAGAUUAAGCGUGUUGUGAAAUGUAGACGCUCAACGUCUGCACUGCAGCGCGAACUGGUUUCCUUGAGUACGCACAAAGUGGGCGGAAUUCGUGGUGUAGCGGUGAAAUGCUUAGAUAUCACGAAGAACUCCGAUUGCGAAGGCAGCUCACUGGAGCGCAACUGACGCUGAAGCUCGAAAGUGCGGGUAUCGAACAGGAUUAGAUACCCUGGUAGUCCGCACGGUAAACGAUGGAUGCCCGCUGUUGGUCUGAAUAGGUCAGCGGCCAAGCGAAAGCAUUAAGCAUCCCACCUGGGGAGUACGCCGGCAACGGUGAAACUCAAAGGAAUUGACGG
rnacentral:rRNA from 1 species